AUGGCGGGCAGACUCAACAUGUUUAAUCUGAGUGAUUUCUUAAGUUAUUUACGCCUGUCGGCUGUGUACGAACGUAACUUUGUUCCGCUAUUUUAUGGAUGUCUAGUUUGUUUUCUCCCAAAAAGGGGCGGUGACGAAUUUAACAGUCAAGUUCCCGGAUGUGCCGGUAGUCCGUAUUAAAAAUGUUGCAUUCCUUCUGUGCACAACAUUCAGUUUGGCAAUUAACGUUACAAGCUGCACGGCUAAUAAACAAAAAAAUACUAAAAAGAGUAAAUGCCCCAUUGUGACAAAAUGCAGUCCUGUCUCCUCUUUACACGCGUACCUUGUUUUUGUUUACUGUUGGUUACUAGGUUACCAAUAUGACCGUCAUUCGCUCAAAAAAACUCGAUGGAAACGCACCCAAUUCGCUUUUUAUGUUUUUCUUUACGUUUGGAUGGAAACCCAGCUACUGUAAGCCGGAUGCUGCAAAUCAUUUUGACAGGUCUGAAACAUAAACCGAUCGAGCAGCCAGAUCUCCUUACCUCCCCCAUGACAGCGAUGGGCGUCUCUCCGGUUGCCUGGGCGACACGGUGCUCUACCAAAUAGAACAUGUAUUCAUCAUAGAGCAGACGGAUGAGAUGGAAGGAGCCGAAGCUGGCGGCCGAGCGCAGAGUCAGAUCUCUGAUCACCAUGGAGCUGUAACCGAGGCAACAGGAGAGUUUCAUUACAAACUAUAAUACAUGACCCGCAAAUUCAAAUCACAGGUGAAGAACUGCACUUCAUGUUUUAAUUAACACCUCUUAUUGUUAUACUGUGUGUUUAUUAAAGAGGUAAUGAUAUUAAAGCACAGAGCAUCCAUA